AGUGAACGCUGGCGGUAGGCCUAACACAUGCAAGUCGAACGGCAGCACAGUAAGAGCUUGCUCUUACGGGUGGCGAGUGGCGGACGGGUGAGGAAUACAUCGGAAUCUACUUUUUCGUGGGGGAUAACGUAGGGAAACUUACGCUAAUACCGCAUACGACCUACGGGUGAAAGCAGGGGAUCUUCGGACCUUGCGCGAUUGAAUGAGCCGAUGUCGGAUUAGCUAGUUGGCGGGGUAAAGGCCCACCAAGGCAACGAUCCGUAGCUGGUCUGAGAGGAUGAUCAGCCACACUGGAACUGAGACACGGUCCAGACUCCUACGGGAGGCAGCAGUGGGGAAUAUUGGGCAAUGGGCGAAAGCCUGAUCCAGCCAUGCCGCGUGGGUGAAGAAGGCCUUCGGGUUGUAAAGCCCUUUUGUUGGGAAAGAAAAGCAGCAGGUUAAUACCCCGCUGUUCUGACGGUACCCAAAGAAUAAGCACCGGCUAACUUCGUG
rnacentral:rRNA from 1 species